CAAUAGCGUAUAUUAAAGUUGUUGCAGUUAAAAAGCUCGUAGUUGGAUUUGUGGCGUACGACGGGCUCCGGGCACUUGUUGUCUGAGUAGCUUGUCGUUGCCAUCCUUGGGUGGAACCUGUGUGGCAUUAGGUUGUCGUACAGGGGAUGCCCAUCUUUUACUGUGAAAAAAUUAGAGUGUUCAAAGCAGGCUUAUGCCGUUGAAUAUAUUAGCAUGGAAUAAUAAGAUAGGACUUUGUCGCUAUUUUGUUGGUUUGCGCGAUAAGGUAAUGAUUAAUAGGGACAGUUGGGGGUAUUCGUAUUCCAUUGUCAGAGGUGAAAUUCUUGGAUUUUUGGAAGACGAACUACUGCGAAAGCAUUUACCAAGGAUGUUUUCAUUAA
rnacentral:rRNA from 1 species